UAUAGAGGCAUUUAAUAAGACUUAUGUAACUUAAAUAAUUACUAGUUAAUAUUGUAAACAUAAAAAUAAAUUUAUAACAGCUGGUUGUUUUUUUUGUAAUUUCAAUGCAAUAACUUUUUGGCAAGGAUUAAAUUACAAGUAACUUGAAUAUUAAAGAAUAACACAUUAAUAAGACCUUAACAUAAAUAUUUCUGAUUUAUGCAAACUUUUAGAACAUGGGACAUUUUAUUGUAUUUUAUUAAAUAAAGAAAUAAUUAGUGAAUAAAAAUUUCCAUGUUUACAGUACUUAAAAAAGUCUGGAAGGAGUUUCUUUGUUUCUGUAAUCUUUAAGUUUUUAUUAGAUUUUUAUCUCCAUCCUUUAUAUUUUUUCAUCAUUAUUCUGUAAUAAA
rnacentral:lncRNA from 1 species